rnacentral:rRNA from 1 species
UACAGAGGAUGCAAGCGUUAUCCGGAAUGAUUGGGCGUAAAGCGUGCGCAGGCGGCUUCGCAAGUCAGACGUGAAAUCCCCGGGCUUAACCUGGGAAUGGCGUUUGAAACUACGGAGCUGGAGUGUGGCAGAGGGAGGUAGAAUUCCACGUGUAGCGGUGAAAUGCGUAGAUAUGUGGAGGAAUACCGAUGGCGAAGGCAGCCUCCUGGGCCAACACUGACGCUCAUGCACGAAAGCGUGGGGAGCAAACAGG